AGUGAACGCUGGCGGUAGGCCUAACACAUGCAAGUCGAACGGCAGCACAGUAAGAGCUUGCUCUUACGGGUGGCGAGUGGCGGACGGGUGAGGAAUACAUCGGAAUCUACUUUUUCGUGGGGGAUAACGUAGGGAAACUUACGCUAAUACCGCAUACGACCUACGGGUGAAAGCAGGGGAUCUUCGGACCUUUCGCGAUUGAAUGAGCCGAUGUCGGAUUAGCUAGUUGGCGGGGUAAAGGCCCACCCAGGCGACGAUCCGGAGCUGGUCUGAGAGGAUGAUCAGCCACACUGGAACUGAGACACGGUCCAGACGCCUACGGAAGGCAGCAGUGGGGAAUAUUGGAGAAUGGGCGCAAGCCUGAUCCAGCCAGACCGCGUGAGUGAAGAAGGACUUCGGGUUGUAAAGCCCUUUUGUUGGGAAAGAAAAGCAGCAGGUUUAUACCCCACUGUUCUGACGGUACCCAAAGAAUAAGCACCGGCUAACUUCGUG
rnacentral:rRNA from 1 species